AGGGGCGAGGGAGGGGCUGAAAACACCUGUUUGAAGAAGAUACCCGCUCUCCAGUUCUGGAGGUCCCUGGUUCCUGGUCUCCUUCCCACACACACCUUUGGGUCUUCAGUCAUCAGCCCCCCCCCCCCCCCCCAUUAACAGCCUCAGUAAAGAGGGAGGAAUAGCAUUGGCCAUACCUUAAGAGGCUUCUGGUAGGGGCUUCCUUCCAAGGAGCAGAGUACGGAAAGGGGAAGAAAGGAAUAACCUGACAGUGGAGAAACCUGCCAGCAUCCCUUGGCCCGCCGGUCACGGCCGUCGGCAGCCAUGGCGAGUCAUGUGAGGGCAUAUGCACCCUGGCUAUGAUGUGAGGAGAGGGGCACCGUACCUCUGGGGACAUCCUCCCUCCAGCUCACAAGCCCGGUCUAAUCAGGAGAAAAAUAUCAGACCAACCCCCCCUGAGGGACAUUCUGCAAAAUACCUGACUGGCACCCCUCACAACUGCCCAGCCCAGAGGAGCCCGAGAUGACAAGACAACAAAGUGUAGUGGGGUGAUGGGAUCCUGGAACUGGAAAGGAAUGUGAAAUUAAAACCGUGGAAAUCCGAAUCAGG